GGGGUUUCUGAGAUAUUUGCUGUAUUUUGAGUUGGUCCCCAAACUCCUUGUCCAGCCUGAGCCGCGGGGCUGCCUGACCCCAAGUAGCCAAACAGCAGCAAAAUCAGAGCUGAAGGGCUGUUAGGAGAUUUGCUGUCAGGAAAUUCACACUGAGCACUACAUAAAACCAAUAAGACCCUUCUUUUUGUUUCAGUUUCUCCCUUUGGUGGGUCCCCCUUCUGAGCGAGGAUGAAUGAGGUGAUCAUAAGGAGCCACAAAAAGGAUAUUUAAGGAACGGUCCAAAUGGUUUUAGGAACGAGUCUCAGGGGGAACACAGUUAUAAAAAUUAAGCCAAUUAGAUUGACCACAGGUUGUUUUUCCUCUCCAUGAGGAAGCACGUGGAGGUAGAUAAUUAAGGCUAGGGCAGGUGUAAGGAUUAGUAUUCCUGGCUGCAAAGCCCACAGUUUUAAUUAAUCUCUGGGUCUUUCUGCAGGGCCAUGUUAAUAGACAAGGGCGUGGUGACCUUUUGUGGUUUUUUUGUGUUUUUUUUUUUAACCAGGUUCAUUACAGUCCUGCUUAUUGCCAGGAAGCAUUACUGCUUUGUGCUUGCAGCAGCUUUAAAGGUGGAUGAAAACUAUAACGCCGGGUCAGCCCAGAUGCACACCAAAUGCAUCAUCCCAGGUGACCUUUGGGGCUGGGAAGAAGCUGCAGUUUCCCACUGGCGUCCAUGAGUCAACAUGAGCAUCGAGUCACAGCAGCACGCCGAACCUCAUUUAUCAUUCCAUUUAAGGUGUCAGAAGAGCCAUUAUUCAAAUGAAUGGCCACACAUGCAAUCAAUCUUUAAUGAAACAAUAAUUGCACCUUCUACUCUGCAAGACCUCUGCCUUUCUUAGAGCCUUGUUGGAAAAGGAUAUUACAAUGGCCCAGUACCCUGUUUGCACUGAUGUCCCCACGGAGAGAACACAGUGAGCUGGCUGGGAGAAGAAAAUGAACAGUUCUAUUUAUGCAGCAAGUAAAUGAUCACAGAGCAAGCACAAUAUGUGACGGGGACUGAAGGUGAAAUAUUACUUUGGGAGAUGCAUUUACGAUCUGCCCACACUGAUAUUUUAAUUGGCCCCUGCAUGUUAAUAGGAGGUGAUUCCAGCAUUGGUCCUUUUCUUCUUGCCUCCACCUUCUCAGCUACAAGAAGCAGUUCUUCAAGUCAACCAGCCUAUAGGCUCAGCGUUUUAGGUGGCAUUUAUGAAGGGUUCUGAAAUUGCUUGGGAAAACAUUUCUCACCAUUCUUAUGGGUUUUGUCCCUCUAAACCUGAGUGACCCCCUCCUGUUUGUACUCUCCCUGCAUUUCACCCCAGCUCAUGAUGCUCUGACAGCUGUGUGUGACCAAUGUGCUCAGAGCCAUGCGACCCUAUUUCCAGUCGGACCCAGCCAGCAGGCAGG
rnacentral:lncRNA from 1 species